GGGCGAGUGGCCUAGCCAGGACAUAGCGCCGGCCUCCUAAGCCGGAUACCGUGGGUUCGAAUCCCACCUCGCCCGC
rnacentral:tRNA from 1 species